GAUGAACGCUGGCGGCAUGCCUUACACAUGCAAGUCGAACGGUAACAGGUCUUCGGACGCUGACGAGUGGCGAACGGGUGAGUAAUACAUCGGAACGUGCCCAGUCGUGGGGGAUAACUACUCGAAAGAGUAGCUAAUACCGCAUACGAUCUGAGGAUGAAAGCGGGGGACCUUCGGGCCUCGCGCGAUUGGAGCGGCCGAUGGCAGAUUAGGUAGUUGGUGGGAUAAAAGCUUACCAAGCCGACGAUCUGUAGCUGGUCUGAGAGGACGACCAGCCACACUGGGACUGAGACACGGCCCAG
rnacentral:rRNA from 1 species